GACGAACGCUGGCGGCGUGCUUAACACAUGCAAGUCGAACGGUAAGGCCCUUCGGGGUACACGAGUGGCGAACGGGUGAGUAACACGUGGGUGAUCUGCCCUGCACUUCGGGAUAAGCCUGGGAAACUGGGUCUAAUACCGGAUAGGACCCUGGGAUGCAUGUCCUGGGGUGGAAAGCUUUUGUGGUGUGGGAUGGGCCCGCGGCCUAUCAGCUUGUUGGUGGGGUGAUGGCCUACCAAGGCGACGACGGGUAGCCGGCCUGAGAGGGUGACCGGUCACACUGGGACUGAGAUACGGCCCAGACUCCUACGGGAGGCAGCAGUGGGGAAUACUGCACAAUGGGCGCAAGCCUGAUGCAGCGACGCCGCGUGAGGGAUGACGGCCUUCGGGUUGUAAACCUCUUUCAGCUAUGACGAAGCGCAAGUGACGGUAGUAGCAGAAGAAGGACCGGCCAACUACGUGCCAGCCGCCGCUGUAA
rnacentral:rRNA from 1 species